rnacentral:rRNA from 1 species
CGCGUAGGUGGAUACAUGAGUAAAUUGUGAAAUCCCUGGGCUUAACCUAGGGUUGUCAAUUUAAACGGUGUAUCUGGAGUGGAGUAGAGGGAAGUAGAAUUUCCGGUGUAGCGGUGAAAUGCGUAGAUAUCGGAAGGAAUACCGGUGGCGAAGGCGUCUUCCUGGACUCUAACUGACACUGAGGCGCGAAAGCAUGGGGAUCAAACAGGAUUAGAUACCCUGGUAGUCCAUGCCAUAAACGAUGAAGACUAGCCGUUUUUCUCUACGGAGGAGAGUGGCGCAGCCAACGCGAUAAGUCUUCCGCCUGGGGAGUACGGCCGCAAGGUUAAA